rnacentral:rRNA from 1 species
UACGUAGGCAGCGAGCGUUGUUCGGAAUUACUGGGCGUAAAGAGUGUGUAGGCGGUGUUCCAAGUUCGGUGUGAAAUCUCCCGGCUUAACUGGGAGGGUGCGCCGAAAACUGGAAUGCUCGAGCGUGGGAGAGGAAAGCGGAAUUCCUGGUGUAGCGGUGAAAUGCGUAGAUAUCAGGAGGAACACCAGCGGUGUAGACGGCUUUCUGGACCAUUGCUGACGCUGAAACACGAAAGCGUGGGUAGCAAACAGG